GAAAAAGCAGGGUCCCGUUGUCUUCGUGGACGGGCCUCUCGUAAACUUCAGGGAAAUCAUUUACAUCGUUAUUGGGUGAACCACUGUGUAAUUUAGGUAACAGUAGGUUCAGUGAAUGAUGGUACAUAA